rnacentral:sRNA from 1 species
AGACACGCCCUUUUCGGUCGUUUUUCGCUGUUUCACCUUUGUUUUCUUGCUCA